rnacentral:rRNA from 1 species
UACGGAGGAUUCAAGCGUUAUCCGGAUUUAUUGGGUUUAAAGGGUGCGUAGGCGGUCCGUUAAGUCAGCGGUAAAAUCGUGGAGCUCAACUCCAUCCAGCCGUUGAAACUGAUGAUCUUGAGUGGGCGAGAAGUAUGCGGAAUGCGUGGUGUAGCGGUGAAAUGCAUAGAUAUCACGCAGAACUCCGAUUGCGAAGGCAGCAUACCGGCGCCCGACUGACGCUGAGGCACGAAAGCGUGGGGAUCGAACAGG